rnacentral:lncRNA from 1 species
UUUUAUUUCUUUUCCUUUUCUGUUUUAUUUAAUUUAGGGCAUUUAAGUAUUUUAUAAAAUUGUGUCCUCUACACCAUAAUUACCUAUGCCAUAUGUGGCACUGUCCGAACAUUUUUGUUUCAACUUUUGAAAAAUUUGGGUGUUUGUCACUAAUUCAUUUUUGAAUUUGAAAUGUUUUGAACUAACGCUGAUUAACAACAGUAACAGAGGUGACAUGGCAUCAUUAGGAGAGUUUUACUAUAGCCUAAUUAUCCGGGCGUUACAAAUCUCCUCCACUACAAGAAAUCUCGUCCCGAGAUUUAGGAGGUAGAAGGAAACAGCGCGGGGUUUUCAUCACGCAGGCGAUCCUCGCGUUCCCAAGUGGCUUCAUCUUCAGAAUGGUGCGACCACUGGACUUUGAGGAACUUGAUCGCCUUUUGACGUGUGCGGCAUUCAGCUUAUUCGAGAAUGCGGACUGGAUGCUCUUUAUAGGAGAGAUCCUGUUGCAAUUCGAUCACUUCAUGAUCCACUGCUCGGAUUGGGUCCUUGAAGCAUCGGCGGAGCUGUGACACGUGGAACACAUCAUGAACCUGAGAAAGGUUCGGCGGAAGCUCCAGUUGAUAUGCCACUUUUCCACGCCUUUCUAGAAUAGUGAAUGGGCCAAUAUACCGAGGAGCUAGCUUUCCCUUGAUCCCGAAGCGGUGAGCACCCUUCAUUGGUGUAACUCAAAGAUAAGCCUUUUCGCCAGGUUGAUAGACCAUGUCUUUAUGUUUACGAUCAUACUGACUCUUCUGGAGCGACUGAGCAGUCUUGAGAUUCUCGCGAAUAAUGCGGACUUGUUCUUCGGCAUGUUGGAUAAUAUCCGGACCAAAGAGUGGACGUUCCCCAGUUUCUGACCAAUUCGGAGGUGUUUGGCACUUUCGUGCAUAUAAUACAGGGGGCCAUCUUCAGACUAGCUUGAUAGCUAUUGUUAUAAGAGAACUCAGCAUACGGGAAAGAUUCCUACCAUUUCUUGCCGAAGGAAAUAAAACAAGCUCGAAGCAUGUCUUCAAGAACUUGGUUGACACGUUCAACUUGCCCUUGCGACUGAGGAUGAAAUGCAGUACUGAAUGACAGAUGAGUUCCCAUAGCUUCUUGUAAACUUGCCCAGAAUCUUGAACUGAAUAAGCUGCCACGGUCCAAACUGAUAACCAGUGGAAUACCGUGAAGUGAAACAAUUCUGGACAUAUAGAGGGUUGCAAGCUGACUAGCAGUGAUCGUUUCUUUGACCGCCAGAAAAUGUGCAACCUUCGAAAGCCGGUCAAUGACGACAAGAAUAGCAUCAUUACCUUUCUGCGAUUUGGGAAAUCCAGUGACGAAGUCCAUCUCGACAUGGUCCCAUUUCCAUUCAAGAAUAGAGAUAGGUUGCAGAGUUCCAGCAGGCCUUUGAUGUUCUUCUUUGAUACGAUGGCAAACGUCACACUCGGCAGCAUAACGAGCAAUGUCUUGCUUCAUAUUAGACCACCAGAAUCUCUGACGAAUGUCUUGGUACAUCUUUGUACUACCGGGAUGAAUAGACAAAGGCGUAUCAUGAGCUUCUUUCAUAACCUCCUGUGUCAUAUCCAGGUUUUUCUCUGCACAUGGCACCACUAGGCGGCCCUUGAAGUACAAAGUGCCAUCAUCAGCAAUAGUGAAGAAUGAGGGCUUUCCUUCUAUGUGGUAGCGCUUAAUCUUGUGGGAUCGAGAGUCAUAUCCCUGAAUUCUCUUGAUGGAGUCCAAGAGAUCUGGUUCGACAGCCAGGGUAUUGAGGGAACCCUGGGAAACAACACGGAGGUUCAUCUUGCGAAAAUCCUUAGGGGGGAGCGAGUGCACCCUGAGGAACAAUAUGGAGGUUCAGCUUUCUGAAUUCUUCAACAAGCGAGGGCUGAACUUUGUGAACCUAGAGGUGGUUGCAGUAAGACUUGCGGCUCAAGGCAUCAGCCAUUACAUUAGCCUUGCCUGGUGUAUAGGAAAUACCCAAGUCAAAGUCUACGAGAAUCUCCAUCCAUCUCUGCUGACGGAGGUUCAGGUCUGGCUGAGUAAACAGAUACUUCAGACUUUGGUGGUCAGUGAAGAUCUCGCAACGAUUAUCGAGAAGGUAAUGCCGCCACUGCUUCAGUGCAUGGAUGACAGCAGCAAGCUCGAGGUCGUGAACUGGGUAUUUCUCUUCAUGAGGGCGCAAUUGACGGGAAGCAUAAGCAAUCACUUUGCGGUCUUGCAUUAGGACACAGCCUAAUCCUUGACGGGAAGCGUCGCAGUAAAUGACGAAGUCCUUCUUAGUAUCAGGUGGAGCUAGCACUGGGGCAGAAGUCAACUUGUCUUUGAGUGCCUGGAAACUUUCCUGACAUUUGUCUGUCCAUUGGAACUUGACGCCCUUAUGCAACAGCUUAGUCAGAGGCCUGCCGAUCUUGGAGAAGUUCUCGACGAAUCGAUGGGAAUAGUUGGCGAGACCGAGAAAACUUCUGACUUGCUUAACAUUCGUCGGAGGAGUCCAAUCAAGAAUAGCCUGGACUCGUUUAGGGUUGAAGGCAAUACCAUCCUUAGAGAUGACAUGCCCAAGAUAGGUUACUUCGGGUAGCCAGAAUUCACAUUUGGAGAACUUGGCAUAUAGUUGAUGCUCUCUAAGCUUUUCCAGAACAAGACGAAGAUGUUCAGCAUGCUCUUCUUCAUUCUUGGAAAAUACCAGGAUAUCAUCCAGAUAAACCACGACGAACUUGUCGAGGUAAUCCAUGAAUAUAUAGUUCAUCAGACGAGAGAAGGUGGCUGGAGCAUUGGUUAAGCCGAAAGACAUGACGGUGUACUCGUAUGAACCAUAUCGAGUCACGAAGGCGGUCUUUCGGAUAUCCUCUUCACGAGCACGGAUCUGGUGGUAACCCAACCUCAAGUCGAGUUUAGAGAACACUGAUGAACCAGCCAGUUGAUCAUACAGAUCAUUGAUCCGAGGAAGAGGAUAUUUGUUCUGAAUGGUAGCUUGGUUUAUAGGACGGUAGUCUUGGACCAAUCGGUUUGUCCCAUCCUUCUUCUUGACAAAGAGAGAAGGUGCUCCCCAAGGAGAGCAACUUGGGCGGAUGAAACCUUUGCGAAUAGAUUUGUCGAUUUCCUCCUUAAGCUCAAUGAGUUCAUGCGGCGGCAUCUUGUAGGGUCGUUUGGCUAUAGGAGUGGUGCCUGGUUUCAAGUCGAUGAUGAAUUCGACAGCUCUAGCAGGGGGAAUCCCUGGAAGUUCUUCCAGAAAGAUGUCUUGGAAUUCGCGAACGAUGGGAAUGUUUUCAAUGCCCUCGAGUGGUGCAGCGUUCAAUGCAUUCAAGGCAUAAAGCCGUGCCUCGGCAUUUUGCACCAGAUGAGCUUGGUAAGUAACUAUUUCAUCUGAAGGGUGUAGCAGAUGGACGGUCUUAGUGGCGAAACUAUAGAAGCAGUAUGCGCUUUCAACCAAUCCAUCCCCAAAAUGAGGUCGAUGUUAGACGACUUCAGGAUAAUGGGAGAGGCAUAGAAUUCCAGCCCUUCGAUUUCCACGGGGACGUCGAUGCCAACCAUGGAGGUUUGACAUUGUCCCACGGGGGUUUUGACCACUACCGAAGUGUCCAUCUCCUCACAUUUAACGUCGUGCUUGUAUGCAAAAUCUUCUGACAUGAAUGAAUGCGAUGCUCCUGAAUCGAAUAAAACAUAUGCAGGUACAGAAUUAACGAGGAGUGUACCCAUCACAGUAGCAGGUUGGUCUUGAGCUUCAUUGAGAUCAACGUGGUUGGCAUGAACACGACCAUAAGACUUGGCACUGUUGUUGCGGGGCUGGUUGCUUCCACGGCCAGUUGCUAGAAGGGCCAGUUGAUUCUGGUUCUGGUUGCAUUCUCUAGCACAGUGUCCUGGUUGACCACACCUGAAGCACAGACCAUUAUUGGGAGCAGGAGCAGGAGCUCGGGGUGGUGGUGCUGGAAGCCUUGGCUGCCUAGAUGGAGGAGGAGGCAGACGAGGUGCAGUAUAGGUCUGCCUUGGGGCAGGUGCAGUUGGCUGGUACAUGCUGUUGGGAAUCCAUAUCCUACACUUCUGUAAGGGCGGGCCCGAAGAUGAGCCCGUGUCAUGGUUGCGCCUGUGAGAGCUAUGGUAUUCCUGCAGACCAGUUUCGACAUUGAUGGCCUUGUUCACCAAGGUGGCGAAAUCAGUGAAGUCAUGCACUAGAAGUGCGAGCUUGAUGUCAGCUUGAAGGCCGUCACGGAACUUCUCCUGUCUGCGUGCAUUAGUUGCAAUGUCCUCUUCAGCAUAGCGAGACAAGUCCAGAAACUCCCACUGAUAAGCUUCAACAGUUUUGUUGCCUUGGGUGAGGUUGCGGAACUCACGCUUCUUCCGGUCCAUGACUCCCUGAGGAAUGAAGCGGGCACGAAAAGCAGCUUGGAAAUCUGACCAGGUGAUGAUUGUUCCAGCUGGCAAAGUACGCAUGUCGCUGUCCCACCAUUGAGCUGCGGGUCCUUCAGGAAGAAGAAGGAAAGGUGACAUAGCUGGCAGGGGCUACAUCAGCAGACUCCAUUUCAUAGGUGAUGUCAUGGAGCCAGUCAUCAGCAUCCAGAGGCUGAGUUGAGCUGCGGUACAUAGUUGGGCUUUAAAAAGGAAUAUCGAGAAUUCACGUGGCUGAAGCUGAAGCAGCUACUUUCGAAGUAACAGAAAGAAAAGCAACGACUGGAGUGGGGGUGAGGCGCAUGAAAUCCUGCAGAGUCACUUGGGCUGGCUGCUGGUUCAUAUUGGGGCGAGGGAACUAGGCCAUCAUAUUCUCCAUGAACUGGCGAUUCAUCUCAAGCUGUUGGAUCAUACCAGCCAUGUACUCAGGCGGUGGUGGGGCGUUGCCACCACGACCACGACCACAUGGUCUAACCAUCCUGCUAAUAUAUAAUAGGGGUAGUUCAGCAUUGAGAAAUUUGCAAGGACAAGAAUCAUUCAUGAUGAAACAUGCAUAAUGAAAGGAGCACGAUAGAUACUACAUAGUAGUCGGCAUAUCUUACAAAAGGGAUCAUGCAUAGAGUUCGGUACACAGAGUUCAGUACAUAGACUAAAGACAUCAUAGGCGGCACGCAGGCUCGCGGCGAAUGCAUCUAAUACAAAUAAGCAAGACUACAUCAGUCCCAAGAGGAACUGUGGAGGUAGGUGUAGCCUGAAAGCUGGUAGUGUCGCAUCGGUAACUCCACGUCAGCAACCUGGGGUCCGCGGAUACUCUGGUGCAGAACCCAACGUUCAGGUGGCAGAAGAGGACCAAGUGCGGGAGAGUAGCCUCCCACAUCUGGCCAACCGACACCAUGGGGCAUCACGGUCCUAGCUGGGUAGAUCGUAGAACGCGGUAGACAAUCAGAUCGGACAAGGGGGUGCAACAGCGUUAGAGCAUGGUAAAGGUGCUGACGGGUGGUGUACAACUCGUGGCGAAGAGCUCGGUUAGCUCGAUCCAGCCCAUCAGCAUGCAGAACCAGGUUCUGAUGGUAGAAGGGCUCUCGGGUGACAAUGGAGUAGGCAGCAGUGUAGUAUCCCUCCGCACCAACAUCGGAUGCGAUAGCAAUGUUCCUGAAAGGGGAGGUGUCCAACUCCCGAUACUCUCCACGAAGACGUGUCAGAGCAGCAUAAGCAGCAUCGUGAACUGCCAUAUCGAUGGUCACUCCAACACCAUGAGCAGUGUGCAGCACAGUAGUGGAGUCAUACUCCCGAGAGUAGAGGUGGACGAUGGCACGGUACUGCUCCUGGUUGAAGUCCUGGUACUCCUCGUAGACGGUGUACUCAGGGUGCCAGCGAUAACCCAGAUAGGUCAUCAUCUCAGCUAGCACAACAGGUGAUCCUGAGGCACCAAUGGCCGUCGUGUGGCGCACGACCUGCCUCGUGGGUUCCAUCCGAAAGCAAAGAUGUUUCAAAGGAGUCAAAUGACAGUGUGGGAAUUGUUCAAAAUACUAUUCUAAGAAAUAACUAUGGCUUAUCCAACUUUGGGGUGAAUGUGGUCACGGGAACCUAGUGUUAGAGUUAGUAAAUUCGUUUAACCCGAGUAGAAGAGAGUUCAGAGUCCCAGAGUAAGGAUCGAGGAGUAAAAGAUCCUAGUACCACCCAAUGGCGACAUGGGCCCGUAAGACACACAACCAUGUUAGUAAAAGUUUUUGCAAUGUCUAGACUCGACUUCGGCCAAGGAGUGUGGAAGGGGGAUUCCUACAGGCAGUCGGCUCUGAUACCAACUUGUGACACCCCCGAUUCAAUCGUACACUAAUCAUACACGCAAACGUGUACGAUCAAGAUCAGGGACUCACGGGAAGAUAUCACAACACAACUCUAAAAAUAAAAUAAGUCAUACAAGCAUCAUAAUACAAGCCAGGGGCCUCGAGGGCUCGAAUACAAGUGCUCGAUCAUAGACGAGUCAGCGGAAGCAACAAUAUCUGAGUACAGACAUAAGUUAAACAAGUUUGCCUUAAGAACGCUAGCACAAACUGGGAUACAGAUAGAAAGAGGCGCAGGCCUCCUGCCUGGGAUCCUCCUAAACUACUCCUGGUCGUCGUCAGCGGGCUACACGUAGUAGUAGGCACCUCCCGUGUAGUAGGAGUCGUCGUCGAUGGUGGCGUCUGGCUCCUGGGCUCCAGCAUCUGGUUGCGACAACCAGGAAGAAAGGAAAGGGGGAAAAGGGGAGAAAAGCAACCGUGAGUACUCAUCCAAAGUACUCGCAAGCAAGGAUCUACACUACAUAUGCAUGGGUAUCUGUGUAAACGGGCUAUAUCGAUGGACUGAACUGCAGAAUGCCAGAAUAAGAGGGGGAUAGCUAAUCCUAUCGAAGACUACGCUUCUGGCAGCCUCCAUCUUGCAGCAUGUAGAAGAGAGUAGAUGGUAAGUUCACCAAGUAGCAUCGCAUAGCAUACUCCUACCCGACGAUCCUCUCCUCGUCGACCUGUGAGAGAGCGAUCACCGGGUUGUAUCUGGCACUUGGAAGGGUGUGUUUUAUUAAGUAUCCGGUUCUAGUUGUCAUAAGGUCAAGGUACAACUCCGGGUCGUCCUUUUACCGAGGGACACGGCUAUUCGAAUAGAUAAACUUCCGUGCAGGGGUGCACCACAUUACCCAACACGCUCGAUCCCAUUUGGCCGGACACACUUUCCUGGGUCAUGCCCGGCCUCGGAAGAUCAAGACGUCGCAACUCCACCUAGGCACAACACAGAGGUCAGCACGCCGGUCUAAAUCCUAUGGCGCAAGGGUCUGGGUCCAUCGCCCAUUGCACACCUGCACGUUGCGUACGCGGCCGGAAGCAGACCUAGCCUCCCUUAUACAAGAGCAGGCAUUCCAGUCCAAUCCGGCACGCGCCGCUUAGUCAUUGACAUCACGAAGGCUUCGGCUGAUACCACGAUGCCGAGUGCCCAUAACUGUUCCCGUGUAGUUGGUUAGUGCGUAUAGGCCAGUGGCUAGACUCAGAUCAAAUACCAAGAUCUCGUUAAGCGUGUUAUUUUGAAGUAACCACGAACGCCGACCAGGGCCAGGCCCACCUCUCUCCUAGGUAGUCUCAACCUGCCCUGUCGCUCCGCCACAAAGGUUCACUCAGAGGGCCGUCAGGACAAACGUCCUUUCGGACCUAAUCCGUGAAUCACUCGCGGGUACUCCUACGAGCCGACCCGACUUUAGUCACCACAUGUAUCAUAUAUUAUGUAUAUAAGUAUAUACCCGUGAUCACCUCCCGAGUGAUCACGGCCCGAUAGUAUAGCAAGGCAGGCGGACAAGAAUGUAGGGCCACAGAUGGAAUACUAGCAUCCUAUACUAAGCAGGUAGGAUUGCAGGUAAAGGUAACAACAGUAGUAGCAAGGACAUGCUAUGCAUCAGGAUAGGAUUAACGGAAAACAGUAACAUGCUACACUACUCUAAUGCAAGCAGUAGAGAGAAGGAAUAGGCGAUAUCUGGUGAUCAAGGGGGGGCUUGCCUGGAAGCUCAACCGAGAAGGAGGGGUCGUCAACACCGUAGUCGUACUGGGUAGCAGCAGCGUCGGUCUCGGUGUCUAGUGAGAGAAGAGGGGGAAGAAACAAUAAAUACAAUGCAAACAAAUGCAUGACGAUGCAUGACAUGACAAAGCGUGAUGCUAGGUGUGCCCAAUCGCGGUAGUAGGUGAUACCGGCGAAGGCGGGAAACAUCCGGGAAAGUAUUCCCGGUGUUUCGCGUUUUCGGACAGAUGAACCGGAGGGGGAAAGUUGCGAUUUCGAUAGGUUAGGGAUGUGUGGCGGACGAACGGGCUGCGUAUCCGGAUUCAUCUCGUCGUUCUGAUCAACUUUCAUGUAGAAAGUAUUUUCAUCCGAGUUACGAAUUAUUUUAUAUGAUUUUCUAAAGAUUUAAUCAUUUUCUGAUUUUAAUUAUUUAUUUAAAUCCAACAUUAUCCAGAACAGUAAACGAUGACGCAGGCAUGACAUCAGAGUGACGUCAGCAGGUCAACUGGUCGGUUGACCAGUCAAACCAGAUAGGUGGGUCCAAUGGGACCCACAUGUCAUUGUCAGAGGCACUAACAGGGGGGUUUAGACUAACUAAAUGGGUUAAUUAGCGGGUGGGGCCCAGUAGUCAGUGAGAGAUUAAGGUUUUAAUUAAUUAGCAAUUUAUCUAAUUAUUUUUAUUCGUUUAUGGCGCGGGGCCCGCAUGUCAUAGACACAGCGGAGCCACGUCAGCGCUGAUCGAGUCAAUGGUUCAACGGGGCCCACCCGUCAGCGACACAAGGGGGGCCCAGGCGUCAGGCCAGCUCAGCGACGGCCGGCGACUCGUCGGAAUCACGCCGGUGAGCUCGUUUGCGGCGGCGUGUCCUCGGGCAUCGUCGGAAAACGCCCAUAGGUCACCAGUUCGAACGCGGACGGGCGCGUUAGAACGGCAAGACGACGACGCGUCGAUUGGUGGUGGUCUUGCGGGCUGUGGUGGCCGGAGAAGGGCGCAUCGAGCUCAUCGGCGACGAGGUUCAGCGGGCGAGGUACGGGAACGGGGCUACGGGGCGCAAACCGAGCUGCGCGAGGUUCCUACGGUGCCUACUCGACGCGAGAAGUGGAACCGUGAUACGCACGGGACCAAAUGGUCACCGUGGCCACGCCGGCGACGAGCGCGUGCGGCGACGCGUUCGGGAGCUCGAGAAGAUUAGAGCUAGGGCGAGCUAGCGAACAAACGGAGAGGCUGGGGAGGAUCUACGGGGCGCGGUGAGUGCAACCGGCACGAGCCCGUGACCAUUUGGUCACCGGAGACUCAUCGGCGACGAGCUCCGCGGCGCUGCGUUCGGGUGCUACGGCGACAGCUAGCUAGGGCGCGCGCGAGAGAGAGGAGGCAGCGGGGGCUCACCGAGCGGCACACACGGUGGCCCGUGAACGGUUUAGUAGCAGCAGAGGGGGCGUCGCCGAAGUUGGUGAAGAGCAGCGAUGAAGCUCGUCGGAGCAGAGGAGGAAGACGGCGGCGUCGUGGGCGAUGCGGGGCUCGAUCCAGCCGUGUAGUCGAAGCAGAGGAGCGAGGCGGAGCUGUUGGACUCGUCGGAGAGGUGAACGGGCGACGACGGUCGCGUCUACUGCGAGUGACGGCGAGGAAGGCGCUCGGCCAUGGCGGAGAGCGAGGAGCGGCGAGGUGGAUCUGAGGGGAGGGGAGGCGCAGGGACCGAGGGGGAGAGCGGGGGCGAGUGGGAGAUGGGAUCGAGGAGGCGAGGGCGUGGCGGCCUUAUCUCCUCCCGGCAUCGGUGCUGGCGAGGCGGUCGGGCGGGAACACGCCCCUGUUCCGACCCUGGUUGGGGGAAUAGGGAAGGGGAGAGAGCGACCGGGGAAACGGGCUGGGUCGGCCGGAUGGGCUAGGUGGGCCGGCCUGGCUGUGAGCUGGGCCAUCUGGUCUAGUGGGGGGGUCCUUUUCUCUUUUUUCUCUUUUGUCUUCUGCUUUUGUAUUUUCUUUUCUUUUAUUUCUUUUCCUUUUCUGUUUAAUUUAAUUUAGGGCAUUUAAGUAUUUUAUAAAAUUGUGUCCUCUACACCAUAAUUACCUAUGCCAUAUUUGGCACUGUCCGAACAUUUUUGUUUCAACUUUUGAAAACUUUGGGUGUUUGUCACUAAUUCAUUUUUGAAUUUGAAAUGUUUUGAACUAACACUGAUUAACAACAGUAACAGAGGUGACAUGGCAUCAUUAGGAGAGUUUUACAUUAUGGGGGAGUAAUAUGCUAUGUGCAUAUUACAAGCCUAGAAAAUGUGUACAUUUGAG